AGAGUUUGAUCCUGGCUCAGAUUGAACGCUGGCGGCAUGCCUAACACAUGCAAGUCGAACGGUAGCAGGCCUUCGGGUGCUGACGAGUGGCGGACGGGUGAGUAAUGCGUAGGAAUCUGUCUUUUAGUGGGGGACAACCCAGGGAAACUUGGGCUAAUACCGCAUGAGCCCUGAGGGGGAAAGCGGGGGACCUUCGGACCUCGCGCUAAGGGGGGAGCCUACGUCUGAUUAGCUAGUUGGUAGGGUAAAGGCCUACCAAGGCGACGAUCAGUAGCUGGUCUGAGAGGACGACCAGCCACACUGGGACUGAGACACGGCCCAGACUCCUACGGGAGGCAGCAGUGGGGAAUUUUUCGCAAUGGGGGCAACCCUGACGAAGCAAUGCCGCGUGGAUGAAGAAGGCCUUCGGGUUGUAAAGUCCUUUCGUGGGGGACGAAAAGGUGGUUCCUAAUACGAACUGCUGUUGACGUGAACCCAAGAAGAAGCACCGGCUAACUCCGUGCCAGCAGCCGCGGUAAUACGGGGGGUGCAAGCGUUAAUCGGAAUCACUGGGCGUAAAGGGUGCGUAGGCGGUACGUUAGGUCUGUCGCGAAAUCCCCGGGCUCAACCUGGGAAUGGCGGUAGAAACCGGCGCACUAGAGUAUGGGAGAGGGUGGUGGAAUUCCAGGUGUAGCGGUGAAAUGC
rnacentral:rRNA from 1 species